GAAUAUUGGACAAUGGGUGCAAGCCUGAUCCAGCCAUCCCGCGUGAAGGAUUAAGGUCCUAUGGAUUGUAAACUUCUUUUAUACAGGGAUAAACCUCUCCUCGUGAGGAGAGCUGAAGGUACUGUAUGAAUAAGCACCGGCUAACUCCGUGCCAGCAGCCGCGGUAAUACGGAGGGUGCAAGCGUUAUCCGGAUUUAUUGGGUUUAAAGGGUCCGUAGGCGGGCCGAUAAGUCAGUGGUGAAAUCUCGCAGCUUAACUGUGAAACUGCCAUUGAUACUGUUGGUCUUGAGUAAAUUUGAAGUGGCUGGAAUAAGUAGUGUAGCGGUGAAAUGCAUAGAUAUUACUUAGAACACCAAUUGCGAAGGCAGGUCACUAAGAUUUAACUGACGCUGAUGGACGAAAGCGUGGGUAGCGAACAG
rnacentral:rRNA from 1 species